AUNAAGACCCUAUCAAACUUUACUUUAGUUUAACUGGGGCAGUUAAUUAAUAAAAAUUUUAAUAAAGAUUAAGUACUAAAUAGANNNCCCAACANUAGUUGAUUACANUGAACAAGUUACUGUAGGGAUAACAGCGUAAUAUAUAUCUAAAGUUCUUAUUUUGAUAUAAGUUUGCGACCUCGAUGUUGAAUUNAUAUUACUUUCAAGCGCAAGAGCCUGAAAAGUAGGUCUGUUCGACCCCUAAAUAUAUACAUGAUUUGAGUUCAAAUCGGUGUAAACCAGAUUGGUUUCUAUCUAUUNUUAUUUGUGUCUUAGUACGAAAGGACCUGAAACAAUAUUAUAUAAUNAUUUAUAUGGCAGAAAAAUGCUUUAGAUUUAGGAUCUAAUUAUAAUAGAUUAUUAUACUCUAUUUAACUUGCCUAAUCUCUGUUAUUAGAAUCCUUAUCGCAGUAGCUUUUUAUACCCUCCUAGAGCGAAAAAUU
rnacentral:rRNA from 1 species